UACGUAGGGUGCAAGCGUUGUCCGGAAUUAUUGGGCGUAAAGAGCUCGUAGGCGGUUCGUUGCGUCGGCUGUGAAAACCUGAGGCUCAACCUCAGGCCUGCAGUCGAUACGGGCGGACUUGAGUACUGCAGGGGAGACUGGAAUUCCUGGUGUAGCGGUGAAAUGCGCAGAUAUCAGGAGGAACACCGGUGGCGAAGGCGGGUCUCUGGGCAGUAACUGACGCUGAGGAGCGAAAGCGUGGGGAGCGAACAGG
rnacentral:rRNA from 1 species